rnacentral:rRNA from 1 species
AGAUUGAACGCUGGCGGCGGGCCUAACACAUGCAAGUCGAGCGGUAGAGAGGUGCUUGCACCUCUUGAGAGCGGCGGACGGGUGAGUAAUGCCUAGGAAUCUGCCUAGUGGUGGGGGAUAACGUUCGGAAACGGACGCUAAUACCGCAUACGUCCUACGGGAGAAAGCGGGGGACCUUCGGGCCUCGCGCCAUUAGAUGAGCCUAGGUCGGAUUAGCUAGUUGGUGAGGUAAUGGCCCACCAAGGCGACGAUCCGUAACUGGUCUGAGAGAAUGAUCAGUCACACUGGAACUGAGACACGGUCCAGACUCCUACGGGAGGCAGCAGUGGGAAUAGUU